rnacentral:rRNA from 1 species
GACGAACGCUGGCGGCGUGCUUAACACAUGCAAGUCGAACGGAAAGGCCCUGCUUUUGUGGGGUGCUCGAGUGGCGAACGGGUGAGUAACACGUGAGUAACCUGCCCUUGACUUUGGGAUAACUUCAGGAAACUGGGGCUAAUACCGGAUAGGAGCUCCUGCUGCAUGGUGGGGGUUGGAAAGUUUCGGCGGUUGGGGAUGGACUCGCGGCUUAUCAGCUUGUUGGUGGGGUAGUGGCUUACCAAGGCUUUGACGGGUAGCCGGCCUGAGAGGGUGACCGGCCACAUUGGGACUGAGAUACGGCGCAGAAUCCUACGGGAGGCAGCAGUGGGGAAUAUUGCACAAUGGGCGGAAGCCUGAUGCAGCAACGCCGCGUGCGGGAUGACGGCCUUCGGGUUGUAACCCGCUUUCGCCUGUGACGAAGCGUGAGUGACGGUAAUGGGUAAAGAAGCACCGGCUAACUACGUG